CAGCCUUUGUCUUCAAAGUGCUUUCUGCAAAGUAUUAAGUGGUGUUUGGCUUUUUUUCUUUUUCAUUUUUCUCUUUUUGGAGGGGAGGAGAAGUCAAUGAGAUUUUUGAAUAGGCUCAGAACAGAGAGGUCACUUUUGAACAAAUGACAUGUAAGGCAAGAUAAAUUUACAUUUUUCAACCUCAUGAAAAACAAGGACAGCUUUGUCUGGGAUUCACUAAGAAGUCAUUGAAGGUAAGCGCCGGCUGCUUACUGGUCACGAUGGAGUAAAACCCAGAGAAAUGUGAGGUAAAGAGAGUUUAUAUGUAACCAUAGGUUGAACAUCCCCAACUCCCCACAAAAGCCUUUCAUUUCCAUUUGGAGUGAGUACACGAUAACCUACACCGGCCAGCCCCUCAGUCACCAAGCAAAGCUCUUGACAUUUGCCUAAUUAUCUUUUCUCAUCAUCAGUCAUUUCUUGAAGUCUCAGCUUCAUUCAGAUGCCAGGUAUUUCCGAAAUUAAUCAUGACAUUGAAAGCGGCAUCUUUUCAUGUAAACGGACUUUAUUAUCUGGAUCAGAAAGCCCCCUCUUCGAGUAGCGAAAGCCCAUUUGUAGGGAAAGUGUCUGAAAUCUGACAUGCUGCCUUCCCAAGAAAGAUUCUUCGUGUUGACCUCCCAGCAAGCACCAAGCAUUCAUCACUGUGAGCUUAUGUGCAUUUUACAAACGUUUGAAGGCCCUGAACUAUACCAACACAUGGCUUUGCCCAGCCUCUCGGAAUUUACAAAGGGGAGGAAGAAAAUGCUUCGAAGAGCUUGGUAAAGUGCCCUCAAACUCAAUUUUUAUGUAUAUAAAAUAAAGGAUGGGCAAAUGAGGAAUUAGCA
rnacentral:lncRNA from 1 species